UGCGGGAUGGUGUAAACAGGCAACACGCUGGUCUUUGAAAUCAGAGACUGAAGGUUCGACUCCUUCUCCCGCAGCCA
rnacentral:tRNA from 1 species